rnacentral:rRNA from 1 species
UACGUAGGUGGCAAGCGUUGUCCGGAAUUAUUGGGCGUAAAGGGCGCGUAGGCGGCACACUAAGUCAGAUGUGAAAACCCGGGGCUUAACUCCGGAGGUGCAUUUGAAACUGGUGAGCUCGAGUGCAGGAGAGGAAAGCGGAAUUCCUAGUGUAGCGGUGAAAUGCGUAGAUAUUAGGAGGAACACCAGUGGCGAAGGCGGCUUUCUGGACUGUAACUGACGCUGAGGCGCGAAAGCGUGGGGAGCAAACAGG